GCUGUUCCGUCCUCUCUUUACUGCAUGCUCAACACGAGCUGGACCGGGGUUCUGAACGGGACGCACCUCUACGACUUUGAUUGUCCGGCAAAGGAGCUCGGGAAGAUGCCGAUGUUCCCUGCACAGUGUCCCUCCAACCAUUCCUGGUUUACUGCAAGGGAGGAAGGAGAAGAAACAGAGUGAAUAAUCCUCUCAGGCCAGAGAACCAGCUGCCCAGUUCCUGCUGCAGGAACUGAAACACUGAUGGGUCACACCAUCGAUUCUCCAUCGACAGACCGUGACAUCUUUCGCGCUCUUCCCCAGCGUCACGCUAGACUGGGAGAGUUAUUCAAAACGUUUGUCAUAAAGAGUAGAAAAGAAGCAAACAUUGUUGCUUGACAUCCUUCUCUGGAAGUCUCAGGUAAGGGGAGGCUUUCCUUUCUUUAUUGUUUAGUAUAACUUUUUAUUUAUUUUUAUUUUGUUAAAGCAUAUAAUUUUGUGUGAGUCACAUUGUGGGUGACAGUUUGGCCUUGUGUGGAUCUGAUCCGUCGUUUCUGUGCCAUGCGCAUCGCGUUUAUGUGGCAUAUCAGUGUGGGCUAGGUUUGUGCGUUUAUGGGUGUUGGGGAUGUGGAUGUGUUCCUGUGGAUCAGGUGCAAUGACGGUUUUGUCCGAACCAUCUGAUAAUAUCCUGCAGGUGCCCUUGGAUGUAAACGCACACGCCACACAUAAUUCUUUCUUCUCAUAUAAAUCAUUCUCACCGGUGGUUCACCUCUGAAAGGUUAUAUCAGAGAUGCAAGAACAGAGCUAACGUGCUGGUUUUUAAUCUUGACUGCCGCCUUGAUGAAUAAUUUCUGCAAAAAAACAUAUGUCCUGAUGUAAAUAUCCAUACAGGUCAGCUUGUGCCCAGUUUAAGUGAAAGGAGGCGCGCGUGAUCUGUGCUAAGGUAAACUUCAGGCAUGUAAGCAGCGACAGCGCGAGGCAACCCACAGAGAUGCCAGUGAUGUGAUUGAUCCACGCUUCCGGUUUUGUGGCCUGUUAAAUGCAUCAACUAUAAACCAAUCUAUUUGAAUACUUCACUCAGUGCAACAAGACUUCCUG